rnacentral:lncRNA from 1 species
CUGGGAUUGGGAGGCUGGAGGCCUUGGGGGGUUGGUGUCUGUCAGCAUGCAGUGAGCUCUGCAAGUGAAAGGUGGGGGACACCAGCCAUAGAUGAAGAGGCACCCCGAGUGUGUGGAGGGGCAGAGAGUACCGAGGAGCCCUCCAACCUGGAGUGGCCUGUGGCUGGAGCACGGAGACUUUCCCACAGAUACGGGUUCACUGCCGUUUCUUAAGUAGAGCCUCGUGCGGUGGCCACGCACUUCUGGAGCAGGGUGGUCAUCAGUGGUGGUGGAAGGUCCCUGGUGAAGGCCAGUGGGAGUCAGGGGCCCCUCCUUCUUGCACAGCCCCCACUGUGCCGUGGGCAGGACACCUGGCGGUUGAAAAGCCAGGUGUGCCUGAGGCCGGCAGGCAUGAAGAGGCACCUGAGGUCAGUGGUUGACAGGAGUGAACGAGGAAACAAGGAAAUGGGCAGGGCAGGGGGUGUGGCGUGCACUGGGCCAAGUCCUAAUAAGUGCUCUGUCCACCAUGCAAUCCUGGCCUUGGCCCAGUGCCUGAGAACUGUCCCUGCUAGGACCUGGGCCACAGCUCAGUUCUGAUAGCCCCUGGGAAUGAGCCUGAAACCCAGAACCCAUGAGGGUGGCCCCAUUUCAGCUGCUCAAAUGACACUUAAGAUGACAGAGGACCUUCAGUGACCCUCCUCCCUUUCCCUUCCUCCGCCCUCCCUCCAGCUCCCCCCUUCUCCCUUGACCUGUGUUAGGGAGGGGCAUGGCUAUCAUCCCCACUUUGCAUAUGGGAAAGAUGAGGCCCACAGAGGGGCUCAGAGGUGCUACCACCACUUUCUCCCUCCCUUUCUCCUGUACCCACUAAAGUCACAUUCUGUACCAGGAAUAGUCUGAGGUUGGGUCUUGGGUCUUCCCAAGUAGAGCCAACUUUCCUGGAAUUGCCAUUCACGUGAGUAAACAGCCGGCCCUGCUGGGGAGCCAAGCCCCUUCUCUUUGAUAACAAACCUGGCAUCUGAACCCUGAGCCCUUCGCAGGUCGCUGUGGUCACAGGCUGGGCUCUGCAGUGGAGCUGGAGUGAGGCCCAGGAAGGUAUGCAAAGACUCUAGACUUUGGGCUGAGGAUCUUCAACCCUCCAUGACCCUAUGGGACAGCGGGCCCCGGUUCUAUCCAGUUCAUUUGAUGAACAUGUCCUGAAUGGCCACCUGCUGCUACUGACCAAGUGGUCUGGAGGUGUCCCGAUGAGGUACAGAGGAAAGGUUGUCACCUGAUGGUAAUCCCAGGGGCCAGAGCGAUGGGGACAGUGAGGAAGAGCUGGCUUGCAGACUGAGCUUGCUGCAGCCACGUGCAAGAUGUGGGCUCAGAGCAGUGCAAUGAGGGCGUGGCAGGCAGCUUGAGAUUCCUGUUGGUUGGGAGGGCCAGGGUCACUGUACCCUGCAGAGCCCCCCGCCCCCGCCUGCAUAGCUGGCCUGGCUUCUGCCCCUGCUUACCAACACUGCCCACACAUCGCUUGACAUUUAAAGACUUGGCUCCCUACUGCCCUACACAGGAGCAGGCGAGGGCUGCUGGACGGGAGGGAGGACUUGAGGGAUUUUGUGCAGGCAGUAGAGGGGCCCCUUCCUUGGCUUUCACAUGGUCCAGGAUUCUCUUCUCAAACACACUUGCAUUCUUACUACUCAGGAUCCACCCCAGGCAGCUUCAGGGUCCAUUCAUUCUGGCCAGGGCUUGCUCCUGAUGGGCUGCAGGUGGCUCACAACUAGGCUCUGCCCUGCGCCACCUAGAGAUGGCUAGGAGACAUGGCAGGCCCAGGCUGGCCCUUGAGCACCUCCCGUCUGUUCUGCCUUCACCACCUGGAGGCAUAGGGACCAUGCUGGCUCAAGGAAAUAAGUAGGUGAAGCAAGAUGGGCAUAGGAAGCUGGGGGAGCGGAGGGCUGAGCCCGCCCUAGGAGGGGUGCUGGGGGCUCCUGCACAGGCCCAGCCCAGUGUUCCUGCACCAGGCUGUCCCCUGGAGACUCCUCACCAUGCACCACCCUGCAUCUCCUCUGGCCACUUCCCAGGCCCUGCUCACCCCAAACCCAGUCCCAUGCCUCCCCCCUACUCUGCUCCCCAUUCCUCUGGUCCCCGGCCCUGUUCUGUGCCUCUAACCCUGCUUCCCCUGUCACCCCUCAUGUCCCCACCUGGCCAUGCCUGGCUCCAAUGUUCUUAUGUCCCCAACAAAGCAGCACGGGCAUGGGUUUGGAGCCUGGACCAUGUGCUGCUCUCUGCAAACUGGACAAAGCCUCAGCCCGGCUGUUGCUGUGCCCCUGGCUUGCCUCUGUGCCUGCCCCCACGCUGCCUGUGGCACCAGCCCCCCAUCCCCCCAUGGGACUUCCAUCCAGCUCCUUCCCAGGCCAUGACCUCCAGGUCUCCAACUGCCCAGAGGUGCUGUUUGGGCUGGCGACCUACCCACCAUUGCCAUCCUGGUCUGCAGGGUGCCAGGGAUGUAGGACAGGCUCUGUGUCCCCUGUCCUCAGUGCUUAGACUGGCGCGGUCAGCAGAAACUGUUCUGAUUCUUUGGCUGUGUUCCCUGGGAGUUAACGGACGGUGCGGCUUCUUCCCUUCGUUCCAGGAGCAGCUGUGGGAAGUCUGGGGAGGGCAUUGUGCUACGGGGCAUCCUGGUUGCCGCUGGUUGCUCAAACAGGGGUCAUGUCCCUCACAGACUCACUAUCCACUCUGCUUCUCUCACACUUGCUCAGAGCUUUUGGUUGAUAAAAUGCCUUCAAAUCCAAUGUCUGAGGGGAUUCCCACCGCCUCCCUGAGGGACACAUGGGCAGGGUCCUCACCUCUCCUUCACAGGAGGGAAAACAGGCUGGCAGUAUUAGGACAUGACGGUGGCCACUGUAGUCAUUAGUGGGGGACUAGAACACAGCUUGCAGAUGGUCAGUCUGGGCCCCCUCGGUGACCUUGUGCAGUUCUGCCUGAGUCACCCGGGGCCUGAUGGCUGUGAGUCACACGGACUUGUGGCUCCCUGCACAUUUGCCAAGGGUGGGGGAGGGGACCCACGUGACGCAGAGGAUCCUGGGACCCAGCUUGCAUGGUCGAGGGAGGAACUGUACGGCUGACUCUAUUUCCUACCAGCUGUGUGACCUUGGCUGAGGUCCGGCGUGACGGAGGCAACAGUGAGUGGGCUCCAGACCCCAUGCCCCUCUCACUAGCAGUGGACUUUCCUGUCACUUAGUCUCAUGAAGCUCCAACUUUCUCAUCUUUAAAAAUGGCCCCGGAGGCGACUACAUUGCAUCCUGAGCAAGACGCUGUGGUCUGCUGAGCUUUGAGAUGCCAGACAGAGUCGUAGAAUGCACAUUGGAAGGGGACUGAGGGGUUGGGGAGCCCUGGGCAGGAGUGGAAGAGGUUUUCCUGGGUGAGCCCGAGCAUGAUGGCUCUGCUGUCUCCCCCAAAGCCUCAGUAAAAUCAGUAACAUUCUUUAAAGUGUUUGGUUUGAUUUCCAGUUUCUCCUGGAUGCCACAAAGUUGAUCAAUUUUAAUUAAAGUUCUUUUCCUUCUGAGGAUUCCUUUGCCUCCUUGCCCUUCCCUUUUUCCAACAUCACUACUUGGCAGCAGAAUGUGCAUGUGGAUUUAAUGGAAGGGAAAAAGGGAGACAAAGCAGAACAGGUUUGGGUACAUCCUGGCUACUUUUCCUCAGUUGGAUGGGAGGGUUGGCUGUCG